GAGGGUGUAGCUCAGUGGUAGGGCACGUGCUUAGCAUACAUAAAGUCCUGGGCUCGAUCCCCAGUACCUCCA
rnacentral:tRNA from 1 species